AUUGAACGCUGGCGGCAUGCUUUACACAUGCAAGUCGAACGGUAGGGUAGCAAUACCUGAGAGUGGCGAACGGGUGAGUAAUGCAUCGGAACAUGCCCAUUAGUGGGGGAUAGCCCGGCGAAAGCCGGAUUAAUACCGCAUACGAGCUAUGGAUGAAAGCCGGGGACCGCAAGGCCUGGCGCUAAUGGAGUGGCCGAUGUCAGAUUAGCUAGUUGGUGGGGUAAAGGCUCACCAAGGCAACGAUCUGUAGCUGGUUUGAGAGAACGACAAGCCACACGGGGACUGAGACACGGCCCAGACUCCUACGGGAGGCAGCAGUGGGGAAUUUUGGACAAUGGGCGCAAGCCUGAUCCAGCAAUGCCGCGUGCAGGAUGAAGGCCUUCGGGUUGUAAACUGCUUUUGUACGGAACGAAACGGCUCUGGUUAAUACCCGGGGCUAAUGACGGUACCGUAAGAAUAAGCACCGGCUAACUACGUGCCAGCCGCCGCAGUAAAAC
rnacentral:rRNA from 1 species